rnacentral:misc_RNA from 1 species
CAGCCGGCUCCUCUCAAAUGAAUCAGCUUACCAGUCUUUGGUGGCGUCACGGGUGUGAUAACUAUCUACGCUUGUGAGUCCGUCUGCCAGGUAACCUUCAGCGAUGGAGGUUUGCUGGAGCUUAUAAACGUCUCUCCUCAGCGAGGACAAAUUUUUGAACGUUCGAUCUCAAAUCAGGUAGGACUACCCGCUGAACUUAA